UGUGUAAUGUAUUCUGCAGUUUAAGUGUCUGUGAGUGUGUGGGGGGGACAGUCUGCGGUCCCAGUGUGUGUUUGUAAUUUGCAGUCAUGGUGUGGUGGGGCAGACUGCAGUCCCAGUGUGUGUGUGUAUGUACAGUCUGCAGUCCCAGUGUGUGUGCGGGGGCAUUUUAUUUAUAUAUGACACACACACACGCCCCCCACCCUACCAAAUCCUGUGUUUGCCCCUGCAGUGGACGAUGAGGGUGCAGCUACAGGAGCUCGGAGUUGUUGCACUGCUGUUCGGGAUCUUUCUUGCUGUUGCUGUACAGUGGUUUUGCAUUGUCAUGGUGAUUGGUCACAUGAUAUAUGCGACCAGCACCUGGUCAGAGCACGAUGACGUAAUUUACAGACGCCCAAGUAGGAACUCGGUCCAUGGCUUAUGGCGCGGUUUCACUUUGGGUGGCACAGUACUUAAGAAAAGUGUCCAUCUGAAUUCUGACCUAUAGAUGGGAUGUUGGCCGCUUCUGCCUGAAGAGUCGGGAAUUCUAACUUAGGCCGAGUACAUUGAGGAAGAUUUUCCCAAUUUCAAGCUAUGCAGACUGGACACAUUUGUAUACAUUAGCAGGAGGUCAUGGGCAGGUGCAAAUAUAUUGGAUGAUCACAGCCAUAAGUAAAAGUGAACAACUUUUGAUUGUCUGCUUGCAAAUGCUCAGCAAUUGGACUGCAGAACAUCAAAGUAGAAGAAAGAAUCCCCUGGAACAGAGCAGUUGAGCCUUGCCUUCACAAAUGAUGUCCAGUGUUUUUCCAGGACUCUCUGUGAUCCCCCCAGGUCAUUUUUGCAUAUGCGUGCCACACGGGAAUGAACAGCCUGAAAAACCCAACCACAGCCAAAACGUCACGUAAAGUCCAUCUUUGAAGAUUAAUUAAAGAAGAGCGAAGCACAUAUCACAGUAAUAGAAAUUGUGGCUAAGAAGCAGAUGAAAAUGAACACCCCAAGGCUAAUGGAUAAUUUUAUAACAGCAGAGAGGUUUCGCAAGCACUGACUUGUUCUAGCUGGUAAACUUGAUUUCUACUGAGAACUUCCCUCUGCAUCUCUGCUAGCACCAUUUCAAUCCUCGGACUUGGAACGCCCCCAAAUCUGCACUUACCUUGCCUAAAUUAUUAUGCUCCACAGCAAUCUCCCGAAAGAAGAAGUAGAUAUAGCUUCCGUAUUCUAUCGCAUGCAGAAAAUGUGGUUCUGGAAAAUCAGCCAGACAGGAUACAUAUAUCAGCUAAAUUCCACGCAAAACACAUCUUGAAUUCAUAUGUAAAAUGCAAACACGGUGAGCUUACAUAUCCCUGACUUGAUGUAUAAAUACGGGGGGGAUUCAAGCUUAAUUGGUCUUGCAGUCUUUAAUGCUGCCUAAUGGAGUGUAAAAGGGCCUCAAAGGAUUUACAUUACAGUUAAGAUUUUUUUUUACUGCAGAAUCAAUCAUAAACCAUUUUGCAAAUGGGAAAAAAUAUGCAUUUAGAGUAAAGACCUUGAUGCAUCAGCAUGCUAGAUAUAGCCGUGUCAUAGCGAAAAGGAUCCAGGGUGUUUAAUAUGCAGUGUAUUUCUGAGAAAUACUAUUAAACUGUGUUACGCUUCAUUCCCAAAUCAA